GAUAGAAUGGCUGAGCACCAGGCAAUAGAUUGUAAAUCUAUUUACGAAAUAAAAAUUUCUUCUAUCA
rnacentral:tRNA from 1 species